rnacentral:tRNA from 1 species
CGCGAUAGCUCAGCCGGUAGAGCAUCCGCCUCGUAAGCGGAAGGCCACGGGUUCGAAUCCCGUUCGCG